CCGGGCUCUCCUUCUCCUGGUUGUGCGUCUUCUACGUGGAUCGGUCUCCUCCAGCCAAGGGUCUGUGCGCCCCCUCCUCUUCUCAGACUCCUCUGCCCUCGCCCCUCCCUCUCACAUUCCCAACUCCCAAGGACAACUUGUCGCUCACUUCAGAAGCUGGGGCUUCUUUCCGUCCCCAGACUCUGCCUUCUCCCCUACUUCUUUUGUCUAUUUCUGCGUUUGACGGCUUCUCUGGGAAGCAUGCCUCGGAUCUGUUUCUCUCUUGUCUGUUAUCUCUCUCUCUUUCUCUCUCUCUCUCUCUCUCUCUCUCACACACACACACACACACACGCACGCACACACACACACCCUCUCUCUCCUCUCUGCCGGCCAUCUCGGCGCCUUUCCUCCGUGGCUCUGGCCUUUCAGAAGGCGUAAGGCCCUUUCUUUGAGCCGCGGUGAGGUGGUCCGACGGCGCCCCGGGGAGGGGGCAGGUGAGAUUGGCGGGAGCCCCGCCCGGGCGGACGCGGAGGAAGGUGGCGCCCGCGCCAAUCCGUCGCUUGGGCCCUGUGCUCGCCCCCAUCUCGCUGGCGCCAGGGGGACGGAGGACGCAGGAGUCUCUUCGCGCUCCAGGGCCGUCGGCGCCGCCGCCCCAGACCUAGACACUGCGCCCAGAGGCCUCUCAGGGACGGGGACGCGGCCGACGACCCGGAGCAGCCCGGCCCCCGGCCCCCGGCGCCAUCACCACGGUCCCUAGGCUCUGUCGCGCCCAAAGCCUCGGGCUCCUGCAGCCUGUGAAGACGCGCGGAGGACGGCGCGGUUCGGAGAGAGGGCGCCAAAGGCGACGCGCCAAAGGCGACGCGACGGCGGCCAGCUCCAGGCCGAGCCCUGCGUGUCUGAAGGAAGCGGCCCCUCCGCCGGCGCAGGACACAGAGCUGCGAGAGGAUCUCGUUCAGCGGGGACUCAACGCCAGGGCGCCGCCUAGAGGUCGGCCGCGGCCUCAGCCUCACACGCCAGCGACCGCUGAGCUGCUUCCCCAGCCGGAGCCAGAAAUUGCAAAAAAAAAUUAAUCCAGCUCGGGUCUCAGGGACGCAGCUUCUGGCACCUCUACUUCUCUGAGAUCCAACCCCCCAACAACAAUGAAGCCUAGGAAAGGAGACGGGCCAGGAAGGCUCAGAAACUUUUAUUCUUGGAAAGGGGUCUCAAUUUCGGUUUUUGUUUUGUUUUGAGGAUCCUGUGUUCUCCAUCUGUGUCUUCAUUGCCUCCUCUCAUCAUCCAAAUUGUCCAGCCCCCUCCAAUUAUGCUACAACUCUGUUUUAUCUUCAAGGAGGGAAGGAAGUAGGGAAAAGUUACCCCUAAAUCUUACAGCUUGGUCAUCUGCAUUUUCAGUUUUCUGAAUAAUUUGGAGAUCGGUGUGCUUUUGGAAGAGUAUCCAGAAAACUGUUGAGGGUGAAAAGAAACGUUGCCUAAGUGGCCUUUACUCAGAGUGAUCAUCAGCUCGAUAAUAUCUGAGUGACAUUCAGGAGGGGGCUUGUUGGCACGAGUGCCUCUGUCGGACAUGAGGGGAUGUAAACCGUUUGAAGUUCAUCAACAUGGUGAAGUUUUAUUGUCUUUCCGGUCCCCAAGAUUUAUACCCGGGAGGGGGCGCGGGCGGCCGGGCAGACUCCUUCGCUCCCUCGGACUUCCCCGCCGGACACGUGGCCACUCGGACACUCGCCUCCGGGGCGAGGGCGGGAGGGAGCCGGCCGGCCGGGGACGGGGAGGCUCGCGCCGCACCUUCCGACGGUCGCUCCCGCCCGGCCCGCCGCCGCCGCCGCCGCCGCCGCUGUCCAGAUCCACCUCUCCUGAGAAGACUAAGACCUCUACAACCUGUCAUGUUGAAGUUGUUCCCACCCUCCAGCUUCUUUGUAAGGAAAGACUAAGCUUUGCUCUCAGAAAAGAGGCUUGGGUCCCCUCCUCACUCAGCACCCAGGAGCCACCAGGAACAACUCAGACAGCAACCCACAAACCUGAACUCUGCUUGCUGAGUGACUCGGCCCUGGUAAAGCCAACAGCAGACUCCAUGCGUCUGGCAAAUCGAGAACAGGUGCCUGGCCUUAACUGUGAUUCAUUCGCUCUGUGCCCAGCUAUCUCGCUGGCGAGUCCGGGGAGCUCCCUCGACGUUCCCAAGAGUCCAACUGCUACUUAGAAGAAUUUGCAUCAGACUUUUGUUUCUCUACUUGGGUCCCAUGGAAAAAGCAGAUCUUCACGCUGUUUGGUUCCUGAUCUGCCCGGCUGUCGCCCUCCGAGAGCUGGGAUGGAAAGGGAGGGGGCCGUCUGGGCGCCGGCAUUGAUCUUUAAAAAAUCAUUUUGAAAUCGCCAUAAUGUGAAGAAAUAUGGCGCUUCACCCUCGUAUUUCACACGUAAUGACAUGAGAUGGCUUCAUUUGGAAAGAAAAGCGGGCGGGAGUGUGUCUGUGCGUGUGCGGAGGUGAUCCUCAGCCUUCUGCAUGGCAGAGGGGUACACGGCCCAAAAGAUAAAACCUCGAAUUAGAAUGGCCCCGCUUUUGUUAAAAGGACCAGGCUGGGGGCAGCCUAUCUUAUCAGGGCUCAGGGUCGGAGAAUCCCGAGAAAACCCACCCCAGCAUGCCCCUAAAUCCAACCCGAGGAGAGUCGGGUCUGUGCAGAGGCCGCGCCUCCCAGAGCGUCCAGGACACAAGAAGCGGCGGCACCCAGGACAGAAGCUGGAGCAGCCGCGGCUGGGAGAU
ensembl:lncRNA